rnacentral:lncRNA from 1 species
GUUGGUGACCAGGUAGAUGGACAUUAAACAUUGGGGAUGAAAACUCGAAUUGCUGACAAGUUUUUGGUGUGAGCAUCACAUCUCAACAACUAGAGUGAAGAAAUAAUUAUCUAGGAUGGCAAUGAAACACACUGAUCCUACAUUUAUAAUAUGGAUAAAAGAAGAAAAAAAAGACAGGAUCAAAAGUGGAUUUUAGUUGUAAACUCAGCCAUGGCAGCAAUACAAUGAAUCCACUGAAUGCAUCCUUCAUUUGACAGUAAAGAAAUCAGCCAAAGACUGAAUCCUGAUACAGAAAAUAUAAAGAACAAAUGGCAGCAAUUCCAAUUUUAAGUAAAUUUUUAUAUGGAAAACAUUUUCUUCCAUGCAAUCCCAAAUCACAAAAUAAUGAAAAAUUCUCAAAAGUUUUUACUGGAAUACUUUUAAAUUUAUUCAUAUUUCACCAUGGGAUUUGGAGUGGUCCAUCCAAUCAAAUAGCAGCAAGUACCUUCAGAAAAACCGACCUGAUAUCUGCUCACAAGUUUUCCAGCCUUAUUGUUUGAGAGGAAGGUCACUUUCUGGAAGGCUCAGGAAACUGAAAAAUAUUUUUAGUACCUAUUUUGAGUAGAGGAGAGUUUAGCUAAUUCUAUGGAUAUUGCAGGUAAACACUGAUUUUAUGUUCUUGGUAUGAUUUCAUAGCCUGGACAGGCUUUUAAAGUUGAAUCCGAGAUUAUUUAUUAAAAGUUCUAACAAGGUAAACUUAAAAAGAGAUGAUCAAUCCUAUUCCUACUGCACUUAUGUAAAUACUCAGUUGAAGUUUAAU